UACGUAGGGUGCGAGCGUUGUCCGGAAUUAUUGGGCGUAAAGAGCUCGUAGGCGGUCUGUCGCGUCGGUCGUGAAAACUUGGGGCUUAACCCUGAGCUUGCGGUCGAUACGGGCAUGACUGGAGUUCGGUAGGGGAGACUGGAAUUCCUGGUGUAGCGGUGAAAUGCGCAGAUAUCAGGAGGAACACCAAUUGCGAAGGCAGCUCGCUGGGACGUUACUGACGCUGAGACGCGAAAGCGUGGGGAGCAAACAGG
rnacentral:rRNA from 1 species